rnacentral:rRNA from 1 species
UACGUAGGGGGCAAGCGUUAUCCGGAAUUACUGGGUGUAAAGGGUGCGUAGGUGGUAUGGCAAGUCAGAAGUGAAAACUCAGGGCUUAACUCUGGGACUGCUUUUGAAACUGUCAGACUGGAGUGCAGGAGAGGUAAGCGGAAUUCCUAGUGUAGCGGUGAAAUGCGUAGAUAUUAGGAGGAACAUCAGUGGCGAAGGCGGCUUACUGGACUGAAACUGACACUGAGGCACGAAAGCGUGGGGAGCAAACAGG